ACCGUGGAGGGUCAUUGGAAACUGGGGAACUUGAGUGCAGAAGAGAAAAGCGGAAUUCCACGUGUAGCGGUGAAAUGCGUAGAGAUGUGGAGGAACACCAGUGGCGAAGGCGGCUUUUUGGUCUGUAACUGACGCUGAGGCGCGAAAGCGUGGGGAGCAAACAGGAUUAGAUACCCUGGUAGUCCACGCCGUAAACGAUGAGUGCUAAGUGUUAGAGGGUUUCCGCCCUUUAGUGCUGCAGCUAACGCAUUAAGCACUCCGCCUGGGGAGUACGGUCGCAAGACUGAAACUCAAAGGAAUUGACGGGGGCCCGCACAAGCGGUGGAGCAUGUGG
rnacentral:rRNA from 2 species